UCCGAUCCAUCUCUCUCCUCAUCCCUUUCUGGCUUUCUGCUUUGCUUAUUAAGUAUUACCGUAUUGCUUAGAGGUGUUGGAUCGUCUGCAGCAAUGGAAGACAGCGGUGGCGACGGAACUGCGAUGCGUGGUAGUAAAACAUAUUGUGUGACGGGAGGUUCAGGCUUCAUAGGAUCGUGGCUGAUUAAAUCUCUCCUCCGCCGGGGAUACGACGUGCAUGCCACCGUUCGCAAUCCCGAGAAGGCAUUGCAUUUGUUGAAAUUAUCGGAGCGGUUGAAACUGUUUAAAGCUGAUUUACAGGAAGAGGGGAGCUUCGACGAGGCAGUAAGAAGCUGUGAUGGAGUAUUCCAUGUAGCUGCCUCAAUGGAAUUUGGUGUAGAACCAAAUCACAAUAUUGAUAGUUAUGUGCAAGAGAAUGUGAUAGACCCCGCAGCGAAAGGGACGUUAAACGUUCUUAAAUCUAGCCUGAAAGCGAACUCGGUGAAAAGAGUUAUCUUCACAUCAUCAAUCAGUACAAUGACUGCCAAAGAUAGUUCAGGGAAAUGGAGACCUGUAGUGGAUGAAUCUUGCAACAUACCAACAGAACAUGUCUGGCAUACUAAGCCAAGUGGCUGGGUAUAUGCACUCUCAAAGGUAUUCACCGAAAAGGCUGCAAUCAGGUUUGCGAAUGAAAAUGGUAUUGAUUUGGUGUCAAUAAUUACGCCAACAGUGGCUGGUCCCUUCCUUACUCCCACAGUUCCAUCAAGCAUUCGAAUGCUCUUAUCCCUAAUAACAGGGGAUGUGAAGCUGUUACCAAUACUAGCUGCCGUGAACUCAAGAAUGGGAUCAAUUGCAUUAGUUCACAUAGAAGACAUAUGCUCUGCCCACAUAUUCCUCAUGGAGAACGCUAGAGCAGAAGGACGAUAUAUAUGUUGCACUCAUAAUUGUUCAAUAUCUGAACUGAUUGCUCAACUAAGCCAAGAAUAUACGGUUCCCACUACACACAGCCUCAUGAUGGAAAAGCAUGAUUCACAACCUCCAGUGAUUUCAUCAAAGAAAUUAAGGGAUCUGGGGUAUUCUUUCAAGUAUAGUGUCCAAGACAUAAUACGCGACACUCUUCAGAGCUGCAAGCAGCAAGGGUUUUUAUCGCACAGCCAAUAGUUAUGGUUUCCUCUGUAGAAGUUGACCGCUGUUCAAAAUACUUGAUCGACUGUCCUAACCUAAGAAUGAAAUCAAAUUACUUGAGAAGCAUUCAUGUAAGCCAAGUCAAAAGUCAAAAAGCAUUGGAUUG